CGCCGCGCUCCGCGCGCUCCCUCGCGCAGGGCGGGGUCUACUGCAAACACCGGGCCCUGCGCAGAUUUGAAACUUCCCUUCACGACAACGUGUGGAAAACAGCUGAGGUCCACAGGAGCAGCAACUGGAGGUUUCUUUUGAUCAUGAUGGGUAAGAGCAGGCAUCAAGAACAAGAUCCUUGCACAUCAUGAAAUACAACUGGGUAUCUCUAUUUUGUGUUCUACUUGCCUUCUGGAAAGCUCCUUGUCACUACUGGUCUCUGCAUCAGAGCCAUCCUCUUCCUGGUCUGAGAGAAGGCAAAGAUCUUCAUCCUCAGCAUCCCUUGCA